rnacentral:rRNA from 1 species
GGGCAACCGAGUUGUAAUUUGGAGACGGGACACUAGAGAGGAGGAAGGCGAUUAAGUGCCUUGGAACAGGCUGCCGUAGAGGGUGAGAGCCCCGUGAAUCGCUGGAGACCGAUCAAUUAGUGCCCGCCGAAGAGUCGAGUUGUUUGGGAAUGCAGCUCUAAGCGGGUGGUAUAUUCCAUCUAAGGCUAAAUAUUAGCGAGAGACCGAUAGCAAACAAGUACAGUGAUGGAAAGAUGAAAAGAACUUUGGAAAGAGAGUGAAAUAGUACGUGAAAUUGUUGAAAGGGAAGGGUAUUUGAUCCGACAUGGUGUUUAGCAGCGGCCCGUUCCUCGUGGAUGGGUGCACCUGGUUUACACUGGGCCAGCAUCGGUUCUGGG